rnacentral:rRNA from 1 species
GAUGAACGCUGGCGGCGUGCUUAACACAUGCAAGUCGAACGGUGAAGCAGAGCUUGCUCUGUGGAUCAGUGGCGAACGGGUGAGUAACACGUGAGCAACCUGCCCCUGACUCUGGGAUAAGCGCUGGAAACGGCGUCUAAUACUGGAAAUGAGCUGCGACCGCAUGGUCAGCAGUUGGAAAGAUUUUUCGGUCUGGGAUGGGCUCACGGCCUAUCAGCUUGUUGGUGAGGUAAUGGCUCACCAAGGCGUCGACGGGUAGCCGGCCUGAGAGGGUGACCGGCCACACUGGGACUGAGACACGGCCCAGACUCCUACGGGAGGCAGCAGUGGGGAAUAUUGCACAAUGGGCGAAAGCCUGAUGCAGCAACGCCGCGUGAGGGAUGACGGCCUUCGGGUUGUAAACCUCUUUUAGCAGGGAGGAAGCGAAAGUGACGGUACCUGCAGAAAAAGCGCCGGCUAACUACGUG